rnacentral:rRNA from 1 species
AUUGAACGCUGGCGGCAUGCCUUACACAUGCAAGUCGAACGGCAGCACGGGAGCUUGCUCCUGGUGGCGAGUGGCGAACGGGUGAGUAAUACAUCGGAACGUACCCAGUAGUGGGGGAUAACGCACCGAAAGGUGCGCUAAUACCGCAUACGACCUAAGGGUGAAAGCGGGGGACCGUAAGGCCUCGCGCUAUUGGAGCGGCCGAUGUCUGAUUAGCUAGUUGGCGGGGUAAAGGCCCACCAAGGCGACGAUCAGUAGCUGGUCUGAGAGGACGAUCAGCCACACUGGGACUGAGACACGGCCCAGACUCCUACGGGAGGCAGCAGUGGGGAAUUUUGGACAAUGGGGGCAACCCUGAUCCAGCAAUGCCGCGUGUGCGAAGAAGGCCUUCGGGUUGUAAAGCACUUUUGUCAGGGAAGAAUCUUUCAGGCUAAUACCCUUGGAAGGAUGACGGUACCUGAAGAAUAAGCACCGGCUAACUACGUGCCAGCAGCCGCAGUAA